rnacentral:misc_RNA from 1 species
UUAGGAGAUUUUUUUGUUAAGGUCGGAAAAAAAUAGUAAAAAGUUGAAAUUUGCAGUAUGCAAUCCUUUAACCGUUCUCAACAACAUACUAAAAGUCCUCAUGUAUCCCGCUUGAGCUUUUGUUGUAUUAACGCCAGAACCAUACACUACCUUUGAACGGAAAUUUUGGCAGAUUGAAUACAUUUUGUUGGAUUUGGUUGGAUUUGGCAGUUCAAAAGUGGAAGCACUGACAAUAACAAUUGUCUGCAGACGCUGCGAAUUGAAAAUAUCUCAGUUAAAAAAAUACUUUCGUAAAAUGGUAAACAAUCGAAGGAGCAAUAUGCUGAGAAGUUCGAAGAAACGUUUUGAAGUGGAAAGAGUUAUUUUUCGCAGAUAUCAUCGUAGAAAGGUGUGCAUAAUAUGUUUUCAUGAGCGCUCAAAAUAUUUAUAUUACAAUGUCAAUGACAUUGACAACGACAGUCUAUUUAUUGUAUUUCACUGUCUCUUGUUUUACUUAAAAAACUUAGAUUGGAAACUUUUUCGGGCUGUUUAUUAUCGUUUAUUAAUGACUUGUCAUGUUUAGGUAGAAUAUUAUGUAAAAUGGAAAGGGUAUAGUUCUUUAGCAAACACGUGGGAGCCUGAGGGGAAUCUUAAUGCAGCUGCAAUCAGAGCUUAUAAUAAUCCACAACCUUCACUUGAAGCUAUUGAGGAAGGGAGAGAUUUCUUACUUUGUGGAAUACAAAAACAGCUGAAAUCGAGAAGCACUGUACCAACUGUCAUCUCAUUUCGGCGUGAUGUGUUUAAUUAUCUUUUCAAUGGAAAGGGGAAACCAGGCAAUGACAGAAAUUCACUUCUACUUGAAAGAAAUGAUUUUAAUCAUUUCCGUAAUUUUCCAAACAAUUGGGAUAAAAUUGUGGACAACAUUGGAGACGGAUUAAAGAUAGAUUUUCCUAUAAAGCUACGCUCAUUCUUGUCUUGGGGUCCACAAACACAUACUUCUUUUGAUGGAAAGUUUUUACCGUGCCCAAGAUAUCGCCCAGAAAAGUUAAGCAUUUCAAUACGUAAAAAAUCAUUUACUCUUUCUAUUGAAUAUUAAAAGCUUAUUUAACGCACUUAACUCUUAUGCAUGUUGUGUUCUAAAAAUAUUACUAAGUAGCAAUAACUUUAACAUUAAUGACACUAAGUCUAUUACACUGCACCGUUUUCGUAGCGUUUUCGUAUUGUUUAAGAGAAUUAGACUAUUGUCUUGUGCCCCCUUGAGGAUUAAGAACAAUACAAAAACGCUACGAAAACGGUGCAGUGUAAAGGUAGCCUAAAUACGAAGGAACUGUAAAUGUCACUGUUUCAGUCAUGUUAUAAAUAAUGGUAAAUAACUUUGUCUUUGUUUAUGAAACGGUUUACAUUAAAAGAAAACCAGUUAUGUUUAUAAGUUUAAAUGAUUCACUACUAAACUAGUUUUUUCUCUUCGUUUUAAUUUUGUAUUACAAAUAUUCCUUACUCAAAUCCUUACUCAUCCUACCUUUAAUCUUCAAUCUUUAUGCACAUUGCACCAAAUGCAUGCGUAGUUCGAUGUGACACAUUUAAUCCCAAAGCAAUAAAAGUUUUAUAUCGACGAUUGCGAAGGUAAAAUAUUCACUCAUGAAUGACAAUGUUGCCACAGUGCUGUUUCUGUUUUGUUUUUUUUUUUUUGCGCAUUGAUUAUGUAUUUACCCGUAAACAAGACUUAUAUAUUUCUGCGCAUAUCUAGCAUUUGUAAUGUCCUUGAUUUCUGGCCAUGAGCAAGUCAAAUUGCCUUUGCAAAACCGGUAGUAUAGAAAUGGGAGGGUACCGGACUACUUGCCCUUGCCAGAACAGGGCGUAAAACAAACAAAUUCCCUCCCAAUCGUGGGAACUGACCAAAGACCUCGCGAUUUGGUUACGACUGUAACUUACGGCUGGAAUUUACUUUUCUUCAAGGCCAUGUUCUGGCAAAGGGCAAGUGGUAAGUGGUUCCCCCCCCCCCCAAAUUUCUAUACUACUAAAACCGACAAACUUUUCUGAGAAUUAGAUAGGAGUACACAUUUCAGGUCUACUAUUUCUAUAGUAUCAUUAACUACAUAAUUUUGCAAAUAUGUACUACAGUAUUUAGCUUCAUGUUAGUUUUCUCAAUUU